CUCUUCUUCCAGCUCUCUCCUCCCUAGGUGCCCCUUCUCUGGCCCACCACAAGGUCUGAGGGACAGUGGACUGGCCCGUGGCUAAAAAAAAUUGCUGACCCCUGCUCUAACCAGCUGAGCUCAGAUAGAAAAGAUCUCUCUCGUUGUUCUUUAGAGAGGAUCUCAAAAGGUGACAUUUGCUGGCUGUAGCACCCUUAGCGGGCAACAGAGCAGAAGGUGGUAGUAACAUGGUGCAGAUUUAUUUAGGGCUUUGUAUGUAAGUAGCAGAAUCCCCAAAAAAAGGCUUGGUGUCUGAUUGGCAGCCAGUGCAGCACGCUCAGCACUGGCAGGAUGUGUGCCCGAUAAGGAGCACCAGCCCUCAACUGGGCUGUGGGGUCCUGCCCCAGCUGCAGCCUUGAGACCAGCGGCAAGGGAAGCCCCACACAGAUUGCAAUGCAACAGUCCAGGCAGGGCUCCCCCCCACCAACUGUAUGAAAGCAAAAAUAGGCAGGUUAACAAGGUUGAACAGCCAGGUAAACAGGCACAAUUCUAGGAAGACAAGCAGGCCGGGUGCCAAGAGGGGUCAGAAGGAAAGGGCAACCAGAGAUGAGGUGGAGGAUUAAACCAGCAGCACCUGAACCAGCAGCAGAACUUGAACUUCAGGUGCAUGCCUGGAUUACCAAGGAUCAGGGCUUUUUUCAGCCGGAACUUUCCGGAAUUCAGUUCCGGCACUUUUCAGGUCAGAGCUGUUGUCAUUCAAUAGAACGAGGGAGGCGUUCGUGACGAGUUCCAGCACCUCUUUUUCUAGAAAAAUAGUACUGAUUCCUGGGUAAGCUUCUUUGUGGACCCUGGGAAAUGCUCUUCAAAGCAAAAGUCCAGCUUCGUUUAAGCAGCUUUAGUGCAAACAGAUCUGUUCGCUGAGGCCUACCUGAGUCUGGCUGACCAAGCCUAGAGUGAGAAGGAAGUGAGCCCUGAGGAAAACCUAAAAUGGCUCCUGAUUCUGGUCAGCUAGGCCUAGUAGAAAACAUGGAGUGGACUUUUAAACAUUAUAGUGGACUGGGUUUGAUGGGCCGCUGCCUUCUUUAUGGAGGUCCGAGGGACGAUACCAGAAAGCCGAACAUCGCCUCACCUAGUUUCCCCCUUCCUAUUCUCAUUGUUUUCCUGCCAUCGUCUCUUCAGAGGAUUUCUCCUGCCCAGAUUAGGAUUUAAUUGUAUUCCUAGUGAGUCCCUUCUGGUUGUACUCAUUCUUUCAGAUGAAUGUUUCAUCAAUAUGAUUAGGAUCACAUCUCCAGUCUAGUUUAUUCAGGCAAUCCGUUGUGACAGCUCAGAGCAUAAUACUCCCUCAAGGAACUAUUUGAUACCAUCCCUAUCAUUUUAUUCAAAUCGUAGUUUGCAUUCCACACUGGCAGUAUAAUGUUAUUCUCCCCUGGAUUAUAUUUCAUGAAAUCCAGCAAGCACUAAAAUCCUUCCCAAAAGGGAUGAGAUUAAUAUUUAUAUUAGCCGACAUCAUCAUAUUAUUAGCAUACGGGGAUAUUCUGCCAGGCAAGGAGGGGAAGAAAAGGCUGUGCGUGGUCAUCAUCAACAUAAUCAUAAAUCUCUCUGAAGAAUCAGGCGCAAAAGAAGAAAGGAAAAAAGGAAUUGAAAACGUGGCAAUGUGCAAGGCUGCCUUGUGAAAAAUGAACUUCUGCCCACAAAGAUUUACCUCAGUAACCAAUGUGAAUGUGAAUUUUAUCAAUGCUUCUUCUUCCAGUUACAUGAAAUCCUAAAACAUCAAAUUGAUUGUCCCUGUCCAGCUCCUUUCCCCCAUCAUUACAGAUCCUUAGUAUUCUGCAGUAUCUAUGGAAACCAAUGGGUAUCGUCCUAUUCCAGGUGAAAUCCAAAAUUUUGGUCACCAUCUUUAAAGACCUGAAUGACUUGGACCCACAAUAAUUGAAGGGCUGUCUCCUCCAUGUCGUUCUUUGCGAACCUAGUACCUUCCAGAUGUUUCAGACUACAGCUCCCACCAGCAACAGCCAGUAGCGCACUGUUUGUAGUCCAAAACAUCUGGAGUGCAUGAGGUUGGUGAAGACUGCCCUAUAGGAACGUGCCUAUUCCCUUAGGCCAGGGGUCCCCAAACUAAGGUCCGCGGGCCGGAUAAGGCCCGAGAGACUCGUUUAUCCGGCCCAUGGUGACCCCCACCGCCCGCUCAUACCAGCGCUGCGUGGCUGCCCACUUCCGGGUUGGAGGAGCGUUGUUUGCGCAUGCACAAGUGUUAUUUCCAGUGCAUAUCCGGGUUGGAGGAGGCCCAUGCACAUGCGCACAAGCUAUUUCAGGUGCUCCUCCAACCCGGAGGUGUGCCGGAAAUAGCGUGCGUGCACGCGUAUGGGCACGCGCUCCCCCAGUGCAAUUGGCGCUGGAGACCAAGGCGCGGUAAGUUUGCUGACCCCUGCCUUAGGCCAAGAAUGGAGAACUUGUGGCCUGACAGACGUUGGACUCCAGUUUCCAACUGGCAAGGUCAAUUGUCAGGGAUUAUGGAAAUUAUAGUUCAACAAACACCUGGAGAGCCAGAGGUUCCCCACAGGUUUAAGAAGUGAUCCCUCUCUGGGCUUUUGUGUUUUGAUCCACUACUAAUUCAUUUCACUGUUUUUGAUUAUAGUCUUUGCUUGUAUUUUUAAAAUUGAUUUUUGGUAAUUAAUUAACUUCUGCUGAUGCAAACCACUUUCUGGAUUUGCUUCUGGAAUCAGAAAAACAAGAUAUAAGUCCUCUGAUAAUCAGAGAGUUCUUAACCGCGUAUGGACAAAUCCUUGUAGGCCCAACGUAUCUGAGAUACUGUCCUUCCCACUCUCUGCCAUUGUGCUAUCCACUGAACGUUCUCUCUGAUCCAUGGCUUGGCUCUCCCAGAGGAGGAAAACCAGUAUCUGGGCUGCAACGCUUCAGACUGCAGGUGUGGGCUCACACGAUUAAGUGAUCUUUCACACCGAAAUAAAUACAUCCCAAUGCAUAGAGAAUUAGCGUAUCAGCCUGGAAUCUGGGAAUCUAAUUUGUCCACCUGAAAUCUGGGAGGAGUAUUGCUCCCCACACAAAAGUUUACCACAAGGAUAGGAACCUGUGGCUAUCUAUAAGUUGUUUUGACUCCAACUCCCAUCAGCCCAAGUCAACUUAACCAAUGGUCAGGGAUGAUGGGAAUUGUAGUCCAGCAAUAUCUGGAAGGCCACAGGUUCCCCACUCGUGGUUGAACACCUCAGUGAAAGUUUGGCCUAUAUUGUCCUUGUUGCCUUCAAACCCCCUCCUCAAUUAAAUGCUGUCAGUCUUUGGCAUAAACUAUAGUUUCAGCUGACUUGUAUCCUCUCUUUCAUGUUUCUCCCCCAGGAAGGAAGUCACCAUACCCCACCAGCUAGUGGAAGAGAGGACAUGCUUAAUUCAGAAAUUCUUACUGGUGAGUGGAUUGUCACUGGGGGAGCUUAGGCUGGUCUUUCUCUUUCACCCUGACCUGCCUCGCAGGGUUGUUGUAGAUAUAAAACGGGGAGGGGGAAGAGAACUGUGUUCAUCACUUUGAACUUCUUGAGAACAAGUGCAGGAUAAAAACUAAAUAAUUUUGCAGAAAAUGUCCUUUCAUCCAUAUAAAACUGGAUUUAGAAUUGCACCAUAGCCUUUCAUACAUGCCCAAAAUUGGAACGAGAGAGGCAUGCUUACUCACAUCUAGGUAUUCUGAGAAUUGCUUCAUCUGAAUGAGGUGCAAGGUUAAACUUUGGGCAUACAGAGAGAAAGCUGUAUGGGUGUUAGCCUCAUAGUCAUUAUACUGUGUUAGGGAGUGGGUGGCGCUGUGGUCUAAACCACUGAGCCUCUUGGGCUUGCCAAUCGGAAGGCUGGCAGUUCAAAUCCCCGCGACGGAGUGAACUCCUGUUGCUCUGUCCCAACUCCUGGCAAGCUAGCAGUUCGAAAGUAUACCAGUGCAAGUGGAUAAAUAGGUGCCACUGUAGCGGGAAGGUGAAUAGCGUUUUUGUGCACUCUGGUUUCCGUCACGGUGUCCUGUUGCGCCAGAAGCAGUUUAGUCCUGCUGGCCACAUGACCCGGAAAGCUGUCUGUGGACAAACACCGGCUCCCUUGGCCUGAAAGCAAGAUAAGCACUGCAACUCCAUAGUCUCCUUUGACUGGACUUCACCAUCCAGGGGUCCUUUACCUUUUUUUUUUUUUACCAUUAUACUGUAUUUUCUUGUGACUGCAAGCGAUAGAAGAAAAUACGCAGCAAAUAGCAAUGUGUUAAUGGUAUCCACUGAGCAAAGGUCCUGCUUGUUUGAUACACCCACUUUUACCUUUCAGUUGUGUGUACCUUACGCUACUAGUUUAUUAUUGCUUCUAACCUAUCGUGUAGCUAUUUAUUUAUUUAUUUCAUUUAUAUCCCACCUUUUCUUCCAAGGAGCUCAACGGUAGCAUACGUGGUUCUCCCUCCCUCUUCAUUUAAUCCCCAUAAGAACCCUGCGAAGUAAGUUGGGCUGAGAGGCAGGGAAUAGUCUAAGGUCACCCAGGUAACUUCAUGGCUGAGUGGGGUUAAAUCCAGGUUUCUUGGUCCUAAUCCGACACUCUAACCACAGCACCACAUUGGCGUAUUUCCUCCAACGUGUCAUAAACUUCUGUGCUUUUAAUUUGAUGGAUAAGGAACGGUGAAGUUGCUCAAACUUAUGAAACCAUCUGCCUUCACAGCCUUCUUACCUACCUGGGGGGUGGGGAAACAAUAUUGUUAGGAGGAGUAAAGGUAAAGGACCCCUGACAGUUAAGUCCAGUCGCGAACUACUCUGGGAUUGCGGCACUCAUCUCGCUUUACAGGCCGAGGGAGCCAACGUUUGUCUGCAGACAGUUUUUCCAGGUCAUGUGGCUAGCAUGACUAAGCCGCUUCUGGCAAAACCAGAGCAGCCCACAGAAACGCUGUUUACCUUCCUGCCAGAGCGGUACCUAUUUACUUGUACUUUGACGUGCUUUCGAACUGCUAGGUUGGCAGGAGCUGGGACCGAACAACGGGAGCUCACCCCGUUGCGGGGAUUCGAACUGCCAGCCUUCUGACCGGCAAGCCCUAGGCUCUGUGGUUUAGACCACAGUUGAUGGGGUUGCAUAAGGAAAACAUGGUGGGGCAGGUCAGUGGCUCAUCCACUCUCCAGCAUCCUGUUCUCACAGUGGCCAACCAGUUGCUUAUAAGAAAUCCACAAGCAGGACCUGAGUUUAGGCACACUCCCCCAUCUUGCUGUUCCCAGUAACUGGCAUUCAGAAGCACACACCCUCCAGCAGUGGAGGUAAAACAUAAUACAUCAGGGUUGACAGAAGCCAUUGUAGCAGAAAGCUGUGCUUGCUGUGUAUGCUCUUGGGCACUAGAUGGCGUCACAUUUGUUUUCUUUGAGGUUCUGGGAAGCUCCGAUGCCCAGUUACCAGAGCUUUCAUACUGUAUCUAAAAAGAAAAACUCCAGAGAAGCAUUUCUGCUUUCUUCCACACACAAAAAGGCAGAGGAAAUAAGAUCUGCUCCAAUCCUGGAAAUACCGUUUGGCCCUUGACCCAUUGUAGGUGCUUUUUGUUUGUUUGUUUUUCAAUAAAGCAAUGCAUAAAAUGUAUGAAAUAAACAAAUGACUGUGUUCUACAAUUGCUUCCUACUACUAGGAAAAGGUGUCUGGACACAGAGCUCUUCCCAGACUCACUCUAAGCUCCUUGCGCUAAUUAGAAUCAGGGUGUUUCCAAAUUGGUGCAUAUCCUUCGACCGGCCUUUCUCAUGCAUGCAAGUUUUUCUCAGUGUCCACAUGACAUCAUUUGUAUGCAUUGGAGCAUGUGGGAGGGCACACACUCCUCAGGGUUUUUUCCUGCACACUUUCUCCAGAGUUUCCCCAGAAGCCAAUGGCUGACUCAUCUCCUUUCACUCUGAUUGACUCCAAUCGGCAGGAAGGAUAUGAAGACCUUGGCUAAAAGGCUCCUCCUUCAUCCCAAUUGGAGGCCUCUAGGAUGCUGGAGACAGAGACCCUGCUGCAGAAAUAGUAGUGUAUUUUUGACACACACACUCUCCACAACCCUAGGCCGCUACACCUGUGUGAAUGCAAUGCCCAAUCAUCUCUGAGCAUUGGCGAUGUUGGCUGGGGCUGAUGGAAUGGCAACAAGUUCACCUUAAAAACUAACUAGUAGUUACUAGUGAGUGAUUCUCUUCCAUUGGGCUAGAUUCGGAUUUACAUCUGGCUGAGUACACAGGCAUAGGAUUGCACUGAGGCUGUAGUUCUGCGAAAGGAAAUAAUUCUGGGAGCAAGUCCCAUUGAACACAACUGUACUCACUUCCAAGGUGAUGUGCACUGGAUGGUGCUAUUUAUUGUGGCAUUUGUGGCCAGAGAGCUUAUGCCAAAACCAGUCUGUUCCUCCUCCAAGUAAUGGUAAAAAUGUAAAGGAGCCCUGGACAGUUAAGUCCAGUAAAAGGCAACUAUAGGGUUGUGGCGCUCAUCUCGCUCAUCUCGGUGUUUGUCCUCAAACAGCUUUCCGGGUCCUGUGGCCAGCAUGACUAAACCGCUUCUGGUGCAACAGAAUGCCGUGAUGCAAACCAUAGUGCACAGAAACAGUGUUUACCUUCCCGCCGCAGCGGUACCUAUUUAUCUACUUGCACUGGCAUGCUUUCAAACUACUAGGUUGGCAGGAGCUGGGAAAGAGCAACAGGAGCUCACCCUGUUGCAGGGAUUCAAACCCAGGGGGCACCUUGCCCAUGGAGGCAAGUGGCAUAGGGUGCCAGGGCGCCAAGUUCUGGAGGGCGCCAGGGAAGAGGCGGAGGCUGGGCGCAGCACCUCCCGGCAUCAGCUUGCCACCCUCACCCACCUUGCUGAAGCAGCGCCAUGUCCGGAGCCUCCGCCUCUUUCCCGCCAGAGGAGCCACUGACUGCCUCCUCCAGCCCCACAAAGCUUGCCAUAAAAAAGUGGGCAACUCUGGGAAAUGGGGGGCGCCGGAGGGAUCUUUGCACCACGGCGCCGGAUAUACUUAAGAUGGCCCUGUUCGAACCGCCAACCUUCUGAUCAGCAAGCCAAAGAGGCUCAGUGGUUUAGACCACAGCACCACCCGCAUCAGUUCCUCCAAGUACUGUAAAAUAACAUGCUGUGUCAACUUAACGGGAGGAAGCCCCAAUGAACAUGAAGGGAUUUACCUUUGAGUGACUGUCCAGAUGAUUGAUUUACAGCACACCUCCCCUUCCUGAUGUUCAGACAUCCCCCCCCUUGUGGAGAUUCCCAUUCUUCGCUUAAAUAUUUGCAUAUUUGUUUCCAUGCAAAUAUAGAAACUUCUUGCUCUCAGGGAAAACUAACCGCAAUGCUUUGUAUCUCCUUACCUGGGAAUGAAUUCUCAGCAUGUCUUACAUUUAAGGAAACAUAUAGAGGAUUGCCCUCCACCCCACCCCACCCCCAUUUUUUCAUUUCCAGACAGGUGUUUAUUGCAGGGUCCAUGCUCCUUAUUACUGAAAGUUGCUCUGACUCUUUUUGCAGUUAUGGGUAUGAGGGUACCAGUUCAUACCCCUCCCCCGCCACCCAUUUAACCUGGAUUUACAUGGAAACUGUCACUAAUGACCCAUUGGGAUAUUAAGCCCCUGUCUGGAAGUACUCCAAGGAAUUGUACAGUACUUCAUUUUUAGCCUCUGGCUGGCUCUCCUUCAGGCCUAAUCCUACACUGUAUAUGUCUACACAGCUAAGUGUGCAUAGGAUUGCUGCUAACCUGCCAUGGGGAAAGGCCCAAGCUCAGUGGUAGAGAAUCUGCUUUGUACGAAGGAUGUCCCUGUUUCAAACUCUGGCCUCUCCAUUUAGGACUGUGGGAGAUUCCCUGCAUGGAACCCUGAAGAGCUGCUGCCAGCCAGUGUAGACAACACUAGGCUAGAUGGACCAAAAGUUUGACUUUUCAGUAAAACGCAGGAAGCUGCCUUAUACUUACUGAAAAGAAACAGCCCAAUCCAGUAUUGGUAUCUACUUAGAAGAAAUCCCCAUUAAGUCCUAGAUAAUGUGUUUAGCAGGCUUUGCAAGCCCAGGACCCCCAGAUGUUGUUGGAUUAUAACUCUCCACCCUUUGCUGGCUUGGACUGAUGAGACUAACAAUCCAGUGACAUCUGGAGGCCACCAGAUUGGCAAAGGCUGGGGGUCUAGGACUGCAGCCUCAGUUUAUUUGAGUGCGGUGGGUUUUACCGCUUGCUAAAAGUGCCUGCAGCUGAGUCAUAUGCAGGUUUACUUGGGCCCACAAGAGUUUAACGGGGUGCGAAUUUGAGUUUCAUCCUCCCAAAUGUACAGGAAUGUGAGUUUCAUCCUCACAACAUUAAAAAGAUGAAUUUUUUUAAAAACCUCUGCUCUGGGGCCUCAAAAAUUAAAUAUGAAAAGAGGGCAGGGAGGAAUAAAUGGAAGAGUAGGGUGUUUUAUUUUAAUACUCCUGGUUGAGGCACUCUGAGAUAUAUUGGGCAGUGGAGGGUAUUUAAGUAUUAGUAUUUAACCACAUUUAUAUACCGCUUAGUUUUUGUUUAUUGGUUUUAUUUAUAUACCUGCAGGUCUCAGAGAGAAACCCCACAAACUUGGGGUCUCCACCUGUUGUUGGACUACCACUCCCAUCAUCCCUGACCACUGGUCCUGCUAAGCUAGGGAUAAUGAUGGGAAUUGUAGCCCAAAAACAGCUGGAGACCCAAGUUUAAGGAACGCAGCAUCUCCAGGUCAGGUAUGGACCCUUUGGCGGUCCCUCUGGUUUCGGUGGGGUGGGGCAUUUUAAAGAUUUGGGGGAGAACAAACCUUUUUGUCUGAUCAAAGAAGCUGAAAACUUAAGGGAUAAAAAAACUAGCCAGCCACCUUUCAGAGAGAACAGACGGAUGAACCAGUCAGACAAACAAACCUGGAACUAGGCCGGCCAGAAGUCCCUGGUGCGCCGGCCCUGCUAUUCCAGGCAAGCAGCCUUUACUGCUGCCGUGGAUAAGGCUUAUUGUGCGUGGUCUACUCAGGAGCAGGUGCUCGAUGGCGCGCCAGGGCGCACCCGGUUCAUAGCUGUCAAGUGUCCCUUAUUUGAAGGGACAGUCCCUUAUUCCAGCACCAUGUCCCGCUGCUGUCCCUUAUUGAUGGAUGUCCCUUAAAUGGUGUCCCUUAAAUUUCAAAGGAAGCAGCUCCUCUCCCUCCCUCCCUGCCGGCCACGGAGGAGGGAGGCUCCAACUGUGUUGCUUGGCUGUGUUGCUCACCCAAUAAGAAGUCUAGGAAUGACUGGGGGGUGGAGCUUGCAUGCCUUGUGUGUGGCUAGUUAAUGCAAGCUGAGGGAUUUUUUGAAUGCUGGACGCCAUUUUGUUGCACGUGCUGCUGCAAACUUUGGAGUGCAAAGCCAGGCAGGGGAGCCAUGUUAAGUUGAGGCUGCAUAGGCCUUGUGGUGCAUGUGCUUCAGAUUCUAUUCAGUUGAACCUCUGGUUACAAAGCUGGUUGGACAGUGUUCUCGAAGCUACCAGCAUGAGUUUGACCAGACUGCAGGAGGACAGGAAGACUGGAGUGCCUGGAACAGGUGAGGCCGCAGGUCCCUUAUUUUGGCUGUUGAUCCCUUAUUUUCAAAUCUGUAAGUUGACAGCUAUGGCCCGGUUUGCGAAGGAAGGUGAGAGGGAGGAAGCGGCGGUCAGCCUCCGGCGGCAGCGUGGACACCUCCCUGGGAGACCCACGAUGCGCUCAUGACUUUUCGCACAAAGUCGCAGGAGUCCCAAAGGGCACGUUUCCCAGGGCCGGAAGUUCUACUUUAAAUGUGCUUGGGGAGAAAGAGAUCAGAGGAGGAGGGAGGGGCGGAGCAAUCGCCUCUGAAAGGAAGCCUCCCCAGGCUGAUUCCACCAAGGGCCGACUGGCCUGAUAAGGGGGAUGCCUCUUAGCCGCCUCCCCUGCGGAAAUGGAAAGCGUAAUGCCGGUGGUCAGCAAAAGAGAUUUAAAGACUCCCUCAAGGCAAAUAUAUAUAAAAAAGUAGUAUAAACACGAACAGCUGGGAAACACUGGCCUGCGAGCGCUCCAACUGGAGAACAGCCUUUACCAAAGGUGUCAUGGACUUUGAAGACACAAAGUCAGGACGCAAGGGAGAAACGCGCUAUGAGCAAGGGACGCUUGGCAAAUUCCUCACCAUGAUCAACUCACGCCGGGAAACCUAUGUCCCCACUGUGGAAGGACGUGUGGAUCCAGAUUUGGCCUCCACAGUCACUUAAGGACCCACUGUUAAAACCGUGUUUAUGGAAGACAAUCUUACUUGGCUACGAGUGAUCGCCAAAGAAGAAGAAGACGACAUGGAUUUAGAAGGAACCAUGGCUGUAAGAGGUAAUAUGCUUGUAUUUUGUUCAAAAUGCAUAAUAAAACUGAUAUG